ACUCAGGAGGUUGGGCAGGAGGAUCACUCAAGCCUAGGAGCUUGAGGCUGCAGUGAGCUGUGAUCACGCCACUGCACUCCAGCCUGGGCAACAGCGUGGGACUUGGUCACAAACAAACAUCCAGCACGCCUUCUUUGUGCCCCACAUGGCCUUCAGGCUGAGAGGAAUACAAUGCUGAUCAUCUGGAAUUUAUAAUCUAAUUGGAAUGAGAAGACAGAAAAAUUAAAUAAACUUACAGGAAGUAGGUGAUUGAAUGUCAGUCUGAAUGGUAAUGACAAUAAGUACUGUAUCUCAGAUAAGAGAUGUGUACAAAAUAAGCUUCCUAAAAGAUGUGAAAUGAGAAAGACUUUUUGGAUUUUCUCUGUAGGCUUCAAUUCCCUGUGGUGGGUUUUUAGUUUCAUAUUUUUGACAAGAUCCAAAUCAGAAGCAAGUUCCCUUGGUAGUCAACUUUUUGUUUUCACAAUCUACCUUUUUUAGAACAUUGCUUAGAAAGUUAUAUAUUGAGGGGUGAGCUGACAUUAUUUCACUAGAUGUCCAAAUUUUAAAAUAUGUAGGUUAUAGUUUUAAAAAUUUGGAUUGAAUUUUGUUUAUCCCUAUUUCUUCUGUUAUAGUAGAAGGUUGUGCGAGCUCAUAGAGAAAUCUUGGCUGUUGGUCUAGAAGGUUGUUAGUGAGUGACAGGGCUGAGAGCCACAGAGCCUUUGGGGAAUGGCUAAUUAUUUUAACCCGGGGGCUCUCAUGAGCUUAUUGACAAGUAGUCAGACACUCUGGCCUUCCCUAGGCAUUUCCAGUUGCCCUUUCUAGUUUAUCUUACCUCUGCUCGGGAGUGGUAGCAACUAGAGGUGUCUCAGUCAUUCUGAAUAAUUAAUGAUUGACUUUUCCCACCCAUUACAGUGCCUAUCCCACACAGAUGACAGUCACAUGUGACAAUUCUAGAGUGGAAGAGAAAGAAAUGAAAUGUGGUGAACAGUUGCACCUAUCUAAUAUGCUAGGUUUUUUGUGCUUGUAAGGGUGUGUCUAAAUGGAAACAUUAUUUGCCACAUGUGUCUUGGUGGCCAAAAGGUACAAAACAAUUGCUCUAGCGUAAGGAUGGAGGUAUUUCUCUCUCCGUAUACUUACUGGGAAAGAAAGUUCCCCUCCAUUUUUUUUUGUCUGGGUUUAAAUCUACUUUUUGGUGGCUGGUCAAAAUUGCUUUCCUUUCAGCCACUUGAAUGCUGGUUCAAUUAGGCCCUUUCUCCUCAGGGCACCUAACUCUUGUAAAAAAUCACCUAAGUUGCCCUUGAUGUUUAACGAUGCCAUCCACUUUUAAUGACUUCUUGCUGUUUUUUUUUUUUUUUGCUCCUGAAAUUCUCUGACUUUCUUUACAUAUUUGCCUCUUUGCUUUCAUUCACAGUGGCUUUUUAUUUUGAUUCCUCCUCUGAGCGUCCACUUCUGGUCCACUGUAUCAAAUCUACCAACUAAUUACGUUUCAAUCCCUACAAUGUUAGGUACCUUGGCCUUUUUCAAAUUACUUUUGAUUUGGGGAAAGAAUUGUAAAAAAUGUUUCCACUGCAAUUAUUUAAUGAUUCAACCUUCAUAGAAACUUAAACUUCAGAGGAGCAAAUAGCCUCAACAGAGGACUAAUUAAGCUUCAUGUUACCCUGGCGAAGUAGGGAGAAUAAGUACGCAGUGAGGCUGCAAUCAUUUCCUCCGAAGUUCGAUUAAAAGCCAAGUUUUAAAAUGUUAGACCAGUGCUAAUCUGCAUGAGUGCUUCGGGUUUCAUUUGGGAAAGAAUUGUGGUUGCAAACAUUAACACUAAAAUAUGUGAAUCUAUUUCCAUAAUCAGGGUCCUGUGGGAUGGAGCCUAGAUUUAAUAUGGCUUUGGCGCUUACGUGUUUUCCAGUACAUUGAUUAAUACUGUCCUCUCAUGUGGAACCCAAUCAGGGGCAACCUGCCAGAGGACUAUUUUCUAUAAAUUUAAGCUGAACUAAUAUCUGUGGAAAUCUUAAGACUAAAGAAGAGUUGAUGAAUAUACUACAAUUAAAGUUGCCUUGUGAAUUGAAGAAUGAAGCAAAGGAUAAUGAACAUAUUGAAAUGAUUCCACAUGUUUUAUGCAUGACACAUUUGUAAUUAAAACAGAUCCUGAAGCUACUCCCACUAAGUGCUCGGCACUGGGCUAGGACAUGCUGCUCACUAUUGCGAGUGAUUGUAGCAACUGAGUUUUGAAUAUUUAUAUAUGUUGAGGUGAAGAAGCUUCCUUGACUACAUCUGAGGAGUUGUGGAAUCAUCAGAAGGAAGUCUUUCUAACAACACACUACAGCUUUGGAACGUACAGUUUCCCUGCCAUAAAUCUUCACCAUCUCUGCCAUUCUCCUUCUAUUGUGUCAACCCUUGCUCCUCAUUUUACAGGUAAUUGCCCCUUCAAUUUUACAAGAUUGUUAAUUUUACAAGAUUAAUUGUCCCUUCCUUCUAGAAGCUUCCAUGACCUCUCAAGAAUGGGUUAAGGGCUUCCUUAAGCACUACCAGAACAGCUCAGACUUCCCCAUCAUGACACUCACUGCUCUGCAUUGUAUUCUAACUGUCUGCUUACUUGUCUCUUUCCCUUACUGGACUAUAAAUUCCCAGGGCUAGACUCCAUUUCUCUUUUGUGUAUUAUUUUUUCUCCAGGUACCAACUAGGCUUCAAGAAAUAUUUGUUGAAUAAAAAAGUGCGAAUACACUUAUUUAAGUUAUAGUUACUCUAAAUACUCUGAUAUAAUUUUGGUGAAAAAAGAAACCAUGGCUUAAGUUAUAGAUAUAAUAGUUUUUUAAAAGUUUAUAUCAAUAUAUUUUUAAUGAGGAUGUUAUGCACUCUAAUCUCCUGCAAUGAAUUAUUUGCUAAUGUAUUAGCAGGUACAUUGUAAAAAAUCAAACUAAUAUCAAUACUGUUUGUAAAAUUUAUAGGUAUGAUUUACUAAUGUAUUGAUAGUCUAUUGUAGUCAGUAGUUUCUAGAGUAUACUCUUGCUGUGCUAGCUAUUUACAGUGUAUUAUGUUUUUAUAAUAAAAUAUCAAAAUAUUA